UUCCUCAUUGACCGGAAGGGAUUCCUUCCAGUCGAUGAGGUAAAUCUUUCUCAUCAACCGGAAGGAAUCCCUUCCGGUCAACGAGGUAUAGGUUCCUCAUUGACCGGAAGGAAUCCCUUCCGGUCGACGAGGUA
rnacentral:miRNA from 1 species